AUUUAAAUAGUUUAUAAAAAUAUUGAUUUGUGGAGUCAAAGUUAAGAACAAAUAUCUUUUUAAAUU
rnacentral:tRNA from 1 species